GGGUGGUAAUGCCGGAUGUUCCACAUGAUCGCAUGUGAUUGUGGGAAAGAUUCUAUCGGCGUGGGAUGGGGUCGCGUCCUAUCAGCUUGUUGGUGAGGUAACGGCUCACCAAGGCUUCGACGGGUAGCCGGCCUGAGAGGGCGACCGGCCACAUUGGGACUGAGAUACGGCCCAGACUCCUACGGGAGGCAGCAGUGGGGAAUAUUGCACAAUGGGCGCAAGCCUGAUGCAGCGACGCCGCGUGAGGGAUGGAGGCCUUCGGGUUGUAAACCUCUUUUGUUUGGGAGCAAGCCUUCGGGUGAGUGUACCUUUCGAAUAAGCGCCGGCUAACUACGUGCCAGCAGCCGCGGUAAUACGUAGGGCGCAAGCGUUAUCCGGAUUUAUUGGGCGUAAAGGGCUCGUAGGCGGCUCGUCGCGUCCGGUGUGAAAGUCCAUCGCUUAACGGUGGAUCUGCGCCGGGUACGGGCGGGCUGGAGUGCGGUAGGGGAGACUGGAAUUCCCGGUGUAACGGUGGAAU
rnacentral:rRNA from 1 species